rnacentral:misc_RNA from 1 species
AAUUUCAAUCCUCAUCCAUCUAUCCAUCAACUUAUCUACACAACCAUGAAUUCUUUCUCAUGACCAGCAUCAAUUUGUAACCCAUAUUUGUAAUUCCAAAGUAUAAUCCAAAAAUCAAGAAGUCAGUAUCAGCCUUCCAAAGGGGUUUCCUUUUUUCAAUAAAUUGACUGAAGCAAAUCCUUCUCUACUUGGUCUGCAUUUAGAGAGAAAAUAUCAACAGGAGCAGUGGUGCAGCCAAUGACAUUCUGCUUCAAUCCACCACUUGAGGGGCCUUUCUGGUGAUCUAGAUAAAUUACUAUCACAGUAAUAUCAUCAUGAAAGUGACGUCUUACUCCCCUGUCAAUUUUCUUUAUAUCAUCAUAUCUCAUUUCUCUUUUCUUUGCGACCUCCUGAAGAGCAGCUCUCACCAAUCUCUUAGCGAUCCCAGCUCUUGGAUACUUGAAAACAAUCUCUACGGCUGCUUCAUCACUCAGCUGUUCCCAAAGACCAUCUGAAGCAAAGA